GGUGCGGUGGCCGAGCGGCUGAAGGCGACGCACUUGAAAUGCGUUAGACUCGUAAGGGUCUCGGGGGUUCGAAUCCCUCCCGCACCG
rnacentral:tRNA from 1 species